rnacentral:rRNA from 1 species
UCGAGAAUCUUCGGCAAUGGGCGCAAGCCUGACCGAGCGACGCCGCGUGGAGGAUGAAGGCCUUCGGGUUGUAAACUCCUGUCGAGGGGGAAGAAGGGUCGAAAGACCUUGACUGAUCCCUGGAGGAAGCACGGGCUAAGUUCGUGCCAGCAGCCGCGGUAAGACGAACCGUGCGAACGUUAUUCGGAAUCACUGGGCUUAAAGCGCGUGUAGGCGGGACGGCACGUCGGUCGCUGAAAUCCCCCGGCUUAACCGGGGAACGGGCGUCGAUACGACCGUCCUGGAGGGGCGUAGGGGGACCUGGAACUUCCGGUGGAGCGGUGAAAUGCGUUGAGAUCGGAAGGAACGCCCGUGGCGAAAGCGAGGUCCUGGACGCCUACUGACGCUGAGACGCGAAAGCCAGGGGAGCGAACGGGAUUAGAUACCCGCGUAGUCC